rnacentral:tRNA from 1 species
CGUAGCUCAGUGGUAGAGCAAUCGGCUGUUAACCGAUCGGUCGUAGGUUCGAGCCCUACCG